AACGAACGCUGGCGGCAGGCUUAACACAUGCAAGUCGAACGCGUGCAGCAAUGCACGAGUGGCGCACGGGUGAGUAACGAGUGGAUAUCUGCCUUUUGGUUCGGAAUAACCCCGGGAAACUGGGGCUAAUACCGGAUGGUUCCUACGGGAUAAAGAUUUAUCGCCAAAAGAUGAGUCCGCGUCCGAUUAGCUAGUUGGUGAGGUAAUGGCUCACCAAGGCGACGAUCGGUAGCUGGUCUGAGAGGACGAUCAGCCACACUGGGACUGAGACACGGCCCAGACUCCUACGGGAGGCAGCAGUGGGGAAUAUUGGACAAUGGGGGCAACCCUGAUCCAGCCAUGCCGCGUGAGUGAUGAAGGCCUUCGGGUUGUAAAGCUCUUUUGGCGGGGACGAUGACGACGGUACCCGCAGAAUAAGCCCCGGCUAACUUCGUG
rnacentral:rRNA from 1 species